rnacentral:rRNA from 1 species
UACGGAGGGGGCUAGCGUUGUUCGGAAUUACUGGGCGUAAAGCGCACGUAGGCGGCUUUGUAAGUUAGAGGUGAAAGCCCGGGGCUCAACUCCGGAAUUGCCUUUAAGACUGCAUCGCUAGAAUUGUGGAGAGGUAAGUGGAAUUCCGAGUGUAGAGGUGAAAUUCGUAGAUAUCGAGAGGAACACCGGCGGCGAAGGCGGCCAACUGGACGAAUACUG